rnacentral:rRNA from 1 species
CCUUGGAAACGAGGUCUAAUACCAAAUACCUUCCUUUUAACACAUGUUAAAAGAAGAAAUGCUCCGGCGCUUUGGGAUGGUCUCGCGAUCUAUCAGCUUGUUGGUGAGGUAACGGCUCACCAAGGCAUCGACGGAUAGCUGGUCUGAGAGGAUGUCCAGCCACAUUGGAACUGAGACACGGUCCAAACUCCUACGGGAGGCAGCAGUAGGGAAUCUUGCACAAUGAGGGAAACCUUGAUGCAGCGACGCCGCGUGCGGGACGAAGGCCCUAGGGUUGUAAACCGCUUUCAGUAGGGACGAAAGUGACGGUACCUACAGAAGAAGCCCCGGCCAACUAUGUG